rnacentral:rRNA from 1 species
UGGGGAAUUUUGCGCAAUGGGGGAAACCCUGACGCAGCGACGCCGCGUGGAGGAAGAAGGCUUUCGGGUUGUAAACUCCUUUUGUGGGGGAAAAGAACGGAUGGUACCCCACGAAUAAGCCCCGGCUAACUACGUGCCAGCAGCCGCGGUAAGACGUAGGGGGCAAGCGUUGCUCGGAAUCACUGGGCUUAAAGAGCGCGUAGGCGGUUGUGCAAGUCCAGGGUUGAAGACCUGGGCUCAACCGAGGGAAGGCCUUGGAGACUGCACGACUUGAGUAAGCGAGGGGAGGGCGGAAUUCCCGGUGUAGCGGUGAAAUGCGUAGAUAUCGGGAGGAAGGCCUGUGGCGAAGGCGGCCCUCUGGCGCUUGACUGACGCUGAGGCGCGAAAGCGUGGGGAGCAAACA